rnacentral:rRNA from 1 species
UGGGGAAUAUUGGACAAUGGGCGAAAGCCAGAUCCAGCCAUGCCGCGUGGGUGAAGAAGGCCCUAGGGUUGUAAACCCCUUUCAGCGGGGAAGAUAAUGACGGUACCCGCAGAAGAAGCCCCGGCUAACUCCGUGCCAGCAGCCGCGGUAAUACGGAGGGGGCUAGCGUUGUUCGGAAUUACUGGGCGUAAAGCGCGCGUAGGCGGACCUGCAAGUCGGGGGUGAAAGCCCGAGGCUCAACCUCGGAACUGCCUUCGAUACUGCGGGUCUCGAGUCCGGGAGAGGUGAGUGGAAUUCCUAGUGUAGAGGUGAAAUUCGUAGAUAUUAGGAAGAACACCAGUGGCGAAGGCGGCUCACUGGCCCGGUACUGACGCUGAGGCGCGAAAGCGUGGGGAGCAAACAGG